rnacentral:rRNA from 1 species
GACGAACGCUGGCGGCGCGCCUAACACAUGCAAGUCGAACGGAGCAUUGAGAGCUUGCUUUUAAUGCUUAGUGGCGAACGGGUGAGUAACGCGUGAGUAACCUGCCCUGGAGUGGGGGACAACAGUUGGAAACGACUGCUAAUACCGCAUAAGCCCACGGCCCGGCAUCGGGCUGAGGGAAAAGGAUUUAUUCGCUUCAGGAUGGACUCGCGUCCAAUUAGCUAGUUGGUGAGGUAACGGCCCACCAAGGCGACGAUUGGUAGCCGGACUGAGAGGUUGAACGGCCACAUUGGGACUGAGACACGGCCCAGACUCCUACGGGAGGCAGCAGUGGGGGAUAUUGCACAAUGGGGGAAACCCUGAUGCAGCGACGCCGCGUGGAGGAAGAAGGUUUUCGGAUUGUAAACUCCUGUCGUUAGGGACGAUAAUGACG